CAACAAACUGUUAAUAGAAUAUAAACUCUAUGUGGGCAGAGACCAUCUUUCUGUCUAGCACGUAGUAGGCCUAUUAAAUGCCUGCUGAUUUGUGGUCCUGACCUCUCAGUGCCUCCAGGCAAUUCUGUAAGUUGAAAAGGCAACCAGUGAGAUCACGGAUUUGAUCCCUCUCUCAGAAAAAAAAAUCAUUGGCUCAUUGUGGGGCAAACAUAAAUGCUUUGUCAGGUGAGGUUAAGAGUGGAGGCAUAAUUUUAAGGGGAAUACUGCCAUUCUACCUCAGGUAUUGCUAGAUGUAUUGGCAAUGAUGGCUUUGUGUCUGCUCCUUUGAAGGCAGAGUGGGUGGAAGGAAAGGCAUUCUGAACACUGAUUUCUUGCAGGUUGAGAAACCAAGGAAUGGUUAAAGGUUCUGCCUGCGAGGGACAUCUACAGGGCUUUCAGGGUGAGCCAGAAGCAUUCCUCUUAUGACUUUAUCAAUGGGCACUAGGGCUCCAAACAACUCAUGCUGUGCUGCUUCCCUUGAACAUGAGGAGAUUUAUUAAAGGAUCAUUAGGAAUAAAGGAAUAAGAAG
ensembl:lncRNA